AGGGUCAGUAAUGCGAUCGAAUUGACCGAGGUGGGGAUAGUCGGGGAAACCCGGCGUAAUACCCCAUGUGCUCUCCGGAGCAAGAUCAUCGCCUUGGGAGCAGCGGUCGUCCUAUCAGGUAGUUGGCGGGUAAAAGCCCACCAAGCCGAAACGGGUAGCGGGUGUGAGAGCACGGCCGCGACAUCGAGACUGAACACUGCUCGGACUCCUACGGGAGGCUGCAGUAACGAAUAUUCCGCAAUGGGCGCAAGCCUGACGGAGCAAUGCCGCGUGCGGGAUGAAGCGGCUUCGCCGUGUAAACCGCUGUCAGGGAGCAGAAACACUGAUCGCUCCCAGAGGAAGAGACGGCUAACCCUGUGCCAGCAGCCGCGGUAAGACAGGGGUCUCAAGCGUUAAUCGGAAUCACUGGGCUUAAAGGGUGCGUAGCGGCCGAGCAAGUGUCCCGUGAAAUCCCACGGNUCAACCGUGGAAUUGCGGGGCAAACUGCCCGGCUCGAGGAAGGUAGAGGCCGGUAAACGAUAGGUGGAGCGGUGGAAUGCGUAAGAUCUAUCGGAAUGCCAAAAGGUGAAGACAGCCGGCUGGGCUUUUCCUGACGCUGAG
rnacentral:rRNA from 1 species